rnacentral:tRNA from 4 species
GGGUUGUUAGCUCAGUUGGUAGAGCAGUAGACUUUUAAUCUAUUGGUCGUGGGUUCGAGCCCCGCACAACCCACCA